CUCCAGUGAACUUGUGCCCAGAAUAAGGACGCCAUAUUCUCAAGAGUUCCUUCAUCCACUUCCGCCGUACGAUCUCUCUCAUCGGUGAAUGCUUUCUCUCUUCCGCCCCAAUGUUCGCUGAUUGGUAUUCUUCAAAGACCAAACGCGCUUCUCUCGGCACCACUGAUUGGCUUGAUUUUAGUUCCUGAAGAAUUUGCUAGCCAUUUGCAGACCACCGUGUCGCACCUGUGAGCAGCAGUAGGGCCCGCUGGGUCUCCUGGCCAACCAGCACGAUCUGCUUGAAGCUCAUGGAGUGGUGGAAUGUCAUCUUGAAGACCCGCUGCCCACUGGACUGCAGAUAGACCUCCACACAGUCACAGGCCCGGCUACCGGUGGAGCCCACCACUGCCUGCUGUUCCCGAGUAGCCAAAACAUAGAGGUACUUCCGGUAAA
rnacentral:sRNA from 1 species